rnacentral:rRNA from 1 species
UACGAAGGGGGGCUAGCGUUGCUCGGAAUCACUGGGCGUAAAGCGCACGUAGGCGGAUUGCUAAGUCAGGGGUGAAAUCCUGGAGCUCAACUCCAGAACUGCCUUUGAUACUGGCAACCUUGAGUCCGGGAGAGGUGAGUGGAACUGCGAGUGUAGAGGUGAAAUUCGUAGAUAUUCGCAAGAACACCAGUGGCGAAGGCGGCUCACUGGCCCGGUACUGACGCUGAGGUGCGAAAGCGUGGGGAGCAAACAGG